UUUUUUUUUUUUUUGGAGGGGGGGGGGAACAGGACAGGGGACGGGGACAGGAAGCUGCUGAGGAAAUGGUGUCCCAGACAGCUUCAUAUAAAAUUGAUGGCAAAAUUUGCAUUUGUUGAAUAAGUGCUACUUGAAGCAUGGUGUUUUGCUUUUAAAGAUUCAUCAGUUGUGGGUUUGCAGGAAUUUUUGGUUUUGUUGGGGGGAGGGGUUUUUUUUUGGAGGAGGGAGGGAGCAUCACGUGGAAAAUACAUUGGAGGGACAAGUAUAAAUACACAUUUUGUGUCUGUAUUUGUUUUUUAAUUGACCUCAUUUCAAAUGUGUUUAAACAGUUUCAUACCUGGAUUGGGUAUUUGUAACGGUUACCAAAAAUGAAAUAAAUGAUUGUGACAUGCUUUUAUCACUACUUUAUUUUUCAAAUAAUAUGUAAAUAUUGUAAUCCAUUGGACUUUGUUUUGCUAACCUGUUAAUAAAAAUAUGGGACCAUUAUCCUUUUAACAAGCCUAGAAAGUCUCCCCCCCUUCCCGAAAAUGUAUACUUGAUAUAUUGUGCACACACAUUUUAGAUGCAUUGUUAUGAUUCUGUUGGCUGUAAUGAUAUAGAAUUGAAAAUAACAUUUUUUUCAUUGUUUAAUUUAUACAGAGGACUUUUUCAGAACUUGGCAGAAGGAAAUAAAUAGCAAAAUGUUAACCCAUUGCCUUCAGCACUCAGUAUUUCCUGACUUUUAAAUUACUGAUAGGGAACAGGAGGGGGAUGCUGAACUGUUGUGCUGAUGGGUUUGUUCUCUUUUAAACAAUGAAAAUGAGUAAAAACAUUUUAAGAGUGAGUACGUGUGGAGUUCUAGAUUGGCUACUCUGAUAAUGGGGCCGUUUUUUUUUUUUUUUAACAGAUGGGGAGCUUUGGGUUUACAGCUGGAUCAAAAAGACCCUCCCUAGCUCAUACAGAUCUAUAGCAGAACAGGGCCCAGGUCUAUCAAGUCCUGGGCAACCUGCUCUAGCUGACCCUGCUUGGGGGGGGGUUGGACUAGAUGAUCUCCAGAGGUGCCUUCCAACCCCAACUAUUCUGUGAGAUCUGACAGGUAAACAUACAGCUUGAAAAGGAAGCUGCCUUCACAAAGAAGUGAAGUCUGAACCAUCUUGGUACUGCUGCAAGUAGGACUGAGACUACACAGAUGCCCACCUCAGCUGGGAAGGAGGAAUGUACAGCAAGCCCUUCCAGUCUGCAGGGGAGGUACAAAACCAGACCUCACAGUGGAUAAAGUGAGGUAAGACAUAAGUACUUUUUUUUUUCCAAUGCUGAGGCAUGACAAAUCCAUUUUUCUUCUCUCCCUAUUCACUCCUGUUCCUGUCCACUAGGUCACACUGCUUCUCUAAGGGCUACUUGCUAAAAAUAAACAAUAAAAAGAAGCUGUUCAUGCUGUAUCAUCUAUGCUAGGAAACCUUUGCAAUUUAAGGAAUAACAUGGAAUCCAUCCCAUCGCAACCAGAAGAGCAAAUUUCCUCCUGCAUUCCAACGAGGGUGAUCUAAUCUUUUUGAACUGGCGCUAGGUCUGAACUGAACUCUCAGUUCCAAAUUUUCCAUAGGCUUUGGAGAAGCCAGGAUCUGAAUGUUGCCCAAUCCUUCUGGUGGGUCAAACUGAAAACUCCACUUGGAGCAUGUUUGAAUCUUGAUCAAAAGUUUGUGGUUUGAAUCUGUCUCUAACCUGAACAUUUAAAUUGAUGGUUCCUAAAUAACCUCUCUGUGCAGCUGUUCCACUGUUGAGCUGCACUGUUCUGUACAGAGUUUUCCAGAUGUCCUUAACUGUCUAUGAAUAGUGAGGAAUCUUAUUUGCUUCUUCAACAGCAGGUUUCCAGUUUCAGGCUUUUUUUUUUUUUUUUUUUUAAGGCAGUGAUACUGCCAUCUUGACUAGUUUCCCAGUGCCUUGAAUAACCUUCAUUAAAUCUAUAAUAUUUAGACUCCGAGUCCUCCUGAAAAAGUUGAGCAGCAAGACUUGUACAAGCCCACAUGCAAAAUUCCUAAACCUUAAUUCCUGUUUAUAGUCCAGCAAUAGAUAAGAGCUUAAAAGUAAUUAUAAUUGUCUCUUGUCUCCAUAUCAUGGUCCCCUUUAUAAAGGAUCCAGGAUACUUGAACAGCUGUUGUUGAUAUAAAGAAAAAGUGAGAAUUAAAAUAAUUGGAAUACCUCAAUUAACAAUGUGUUGCACAAAGGAUGCUGAGACAAGUUCACAUGCACAAAGGUUUAUUAGUGGGGUUUGUAGCUGAUGGCAUACAUUGACUCUAAUGGAGAAAGUUACUUUGGGGGAAAAAAUAAAAACAAAAGAGGAAAGAGACAGAGACGGGAAAGGGUAAACUGUCCUCAGUGGCCAGCCUGGAAGAGCAGCAACAGGAGAUCCUCAGACAAGCACUCUUCCCUGGGCAUCCUCUCCAGUGCAGCAAGUGUGUGUAUCCCCCCCCACCUCCCCUCAAUACUUUUCCCAUAGUAACUAUAUAGUUUUCAUCGAGACCCACUCAAAUUCCCCAUUGGUUGUUCCUGGUUAGGAUGCUAUUACCACUGAAUGGAGCAUGCUUUGAUCAGGGCAGGUGCUGCAUGGUGAUUGGUUGUUAAGCUUUGAGCAUAUGGACAAAGUGAGUACAGACCCUUGUUUUGAGGGUGGACAGAUCUGCCUUACUGCCUGGGGGCUGUUAAACACUUCUGAGGAAAGGGAGGCCUUUCUAUCCCACUUUGGCACAUAGCAACCAUGCAUUUGUGUCUGGAGCCAUGAGAAGGCACUCUCUUGUUGGACCUUCACCUUGCCAGGCACCUAUGCCCUUUCCCCACAGAUAUCAGUGAAUUGGUCAGAUGUCCUUCCCCUAUUCCUUUCUUCUGCAAGAGGAGAAGCACAAUAACAGCUCUCACUUCCUGUGUCACGGGACGACCAACUAUGUUUACAGUCCCGGACCGUGAGGGUUUCAUGUGGCACAAGGGAGGGGAGAAGGAGAUGUACUACAUGACUCCACAACUUAUUUUAAAGAUCUAAAUUUACUACACAAGUUACAACAGUACAAAGCAACAAUUCUUAUCCACAGAAACUUAGUUCAACUAGAAUACUUAUUUUCCAAUUCUAAUUGAUCUUACCCACGUGUUGCCUGAGCAGCCAAGGUACACUCAAUCCCAGGGAAGUAACUGCAGGAGGGCAUCCCCAUCCCAAGGGGAUCUGCAAGUUGACAGACCCACUGUCACCCACAAAGAGCCAAAGACAGCCUCCGGGGCCAACCUAUUUAUACCCUUCAGGGGAAGGUGGAGUCACUAGGCCAGUUGCAGUUCUCUUUGCGAAGUCGCAGUCCCUAGCUCUUGGCUGCUGCAGGGUCCAACUCUCCUCCAGCGUUGUUAUGACGAUUGCACCCACAGUCAUGGGGUGAGGGGGGGGGGAUAGCCGAACACCCCCAAGGGCAGGCUAGCUGCCUUGCGCACUCUUCAGCACUGGAGAAAGGAGUUUGAGUGACUGUGAAUGAUUGCUUUACUCUUGCAGGGGUGGUCCCAAGGAGAGAUCCCAUAGCCAGGGUAAGAAGGAGUUAAUUCCAGUCCCCAAUGAUUAACUGUCCCAGCAGUGAAAGCAGGUGUUAUCUCCCAAGGUCCUGAGGAGGAGGAGAUAGUCCAGACCACCCUAAUUAACACUGUCCCAGCAGUGAGAGGAGGCUUUGUUUCCCAGAGUCCUGGUACCCAAGUAGGCCUUAUCUCAAAGCCUUGACAUCCUCCCUUUGGGAGAGUGAAACACAGGAAUGCAGACUGCUUGUAACUGGCACCAGAUUGGGGGGUGUGGGGGGGAACUGGGAGCUUCCCCCCACAUCCUGCAAUGGCCUGUCCAGCAUGCUAGUGUCUUUAUCUUCAUCUUUGCUCACUGUUGGCAGUCUCUCCACUUGCUUUUAAUCUCUGACAUCAUUAAAUCAGCAACCAUUCCCAAACCUAUGAGACUAAUGAGCCAUGUGAGCUCUUUUUGUAAUCCCCUUUCACAGCUGUGCCGUCUCUGUAAGUUUGCAUGCAGUAACUGAGAGCUUCUGUGAAGAAAGCAGUUUGUUGACUGUGGUUGGUGGUACUAGGCUGUGUUGCUGAGGUGAGUAUGUUAUCUUGUCUAGAAAAUGUAAUUUGUUCUUUCAAAACUCAUUGUGAUGGAGAGGAUGGUAAUGUUAGCUUGGAUAGCAGAUGGCAUUUUCAGGAAGAUGUUUUAGGAAUUUGUUCAGGUUUUGCUUUUCAUGUGGUGUUUGUGCAUAUUGGCAGCUGAUUUAGACUAAAUAAAGGGUAAUAGUAUGUUGUAGUUUCCUUCUGUCAUCAGGCUGCAUAGCUGGUUGAAAGUUAUCAAUGAUGUACAUCAGCUAUUAUUUUCCUACCCUCUGGGAGCCCUAUUAAGCAUUCAUCUUGACUACAAGUUUUUCCUAAGCCCACCCCUGGGUCUACUGUUUCAAACUCCUCUUGUGGUGUCUAGUUGCUUGCUUGCUCUCCUGACAAUUCUGGAGGGUUCUUGCCCUCUGAUUCCCCUCCCCUCUUUCUCCCUGGCUUUCUUCUGUCACAAGCCUGUCUACUGUUUCCACUGGAUGUGCUAUUUACCGCUGACUUUCUCAUCUUCUUCUAUCUGUUGCCUUUCACCACAGAUUCACUCUGUUCUCUCUCUCCUGAAGUGCUUACACCUAUUCAUGAAGUUCUCCACCCUGGUAUUUGCCAAUACCAAAUCUUUUCUUGGCCAGGUUUUUUUUUUGUUUUGUUUUUUAGAAAAGUUAAACUAAUGUUGACUUCAAGGGGAUGAGAGCUGAAGACUUUGCUCAAGAACAUCUCUUUCUAUUGUCCUUUCUUUCUCUCCUGGCUAACUUAGGAACUUCCAGUGUUGUGAGAGCUGUAGUUUUGAAGAUAGUCAAACUGGACAAUAUAUUAUUGCCUCUCCUAGAGCAUAGGACUUGGCUCAUAAAACACUAAAUGGUAGUUGAAAGCACCUAAUUGCUAGGAUGACCUGAGCACUGCACGUUGAGGGGUUGGUUCACAAGCUUAAUAAAGGUAUCAACAAGUAUUUUAGCAAUAACUUGAUAUUUAACUUUUAGCUUGUUAUGUAAGUGCUAAUUAAAUGUUUUAAUAUGCUAUACAUGUUUUGUGUAUUAAUAAGCAGUAAGUAUACAAGUUACACUUUUUAUGUGAUUUAGAAUUAAUUGCAGGGUGGUGAGAUUUUUCUCCUUUAUAUACCUAUUAAACUGAUGUAACUGCUGUUUUUACAUUUGAUUGGUGUUCAUUUAACAUACAGUGAUUGCUCUUUAGAGGCUUUCACUAAGUGCAUAUUUUAAACAAUUUACAGUGUUAGGAAUUUCCUGGUAGUAUUCCUCAGAGGUAUAGGAAAAUUAAUCAUGUUCAACAUUGGAAUUCUUCUGGAGUUGGCUGUAUAUUUCUCAUCAUGUACUGUGCAAGGAGCAUUUGGCCAUUUGGGAUUCUGUUCAAAGAUGAUAAACACAUGAGGAGAUAGACUUGUUACCAAGGGCAAAUUGUGCCUGGCCAACCCAAUUGCCUUCUGUGAUCAGAUAACUGGCUCUAUGGACAAGUGGAGAGCACUGGAUGAUGCUUACCUUGACUUUAGCAAGGUCUUUGAUGCGGUCUCCCACUGUAUUCCUGAUAGUCAAAUUGUUGAGAUGUGGACUGGAUAAGUGGGUGAUAAGGUAGGUGAAAUAUUGUCUGGACUGCUGGGCUCAAAGGGUUUUGAUUAGGAGUACAAAGUCCAACUGGUGGCUGGUUAUUAGUGGUAUCCCUCAGAGUCGAUACUGGAGCCAAUGGUCUUCAAUGUUUUUAUUAACGACUUCAACGAUGGGGUGGAGUACACUUUCAGCAAGUUUCUGGAUGAUACCAAAUAGGGGGGGAGGAAGUGACUAAUAUGCUGGAGGGCAGGGCUGCUAUUCAGAGGGACCUCAACAGCUUGAAGAAAUGGGCUGACAGGGUCCACAUGAAGUUCCACAAAAGGCAAAUGCAAAGUCUUGUACCUGGGAAGGAAUAAUCCCAUGCAACAGGACAGACUGGGGGCUGACAAGCUAGAAAGCAGCUUUGCAGAAAAGGACCUGGGGGUCCUGGUGGAUAAGUCUAACAGGAGUCAGCAGUAUGCCUUUGUGGCAAGGGUGGCCAACCACAUACAGGACUGUAUUAACGAGAGCGUAGCCAGCAGGUCAAGGGAAUUCAGCACUUGUGAGACUGCAUCUGAUGUACUCUGUCCAGUUCUGGGCUCCCCAGCACAAGACAGACACUGAUGUACAAGAGUGAGUCCAGUAGAGGCCACCAAGAUGAUUAGGGGGCUGGAGCACAUGAUGUACAAGGAGCAGCUGAGACAACUGUGUUUGUUCAACCUUAAGAAGAGUAGCCUGAGGGGAGACCUUGUUGCUGUCUUCAACUACCUUGUGGGAGGGUUUAGAGAAGACACAGACAGAUUCUUCUCAGAGGUGCACAAUGAUAAGAUGAGAAGCAACAGAGACAGUUGUCAGGGCCCUGAGUGCACUAAUAGACCUUAAUGGCCCUGAACAGCCUCACCUGGAACCCCCACCCUCUGCCCAUGGGCCCAGGAGCUCCAUUUAAGCUCAGGCAUGGGCCUUCAGUCCCUGCCUGAGCUAUGUUGUAGGUGUGCCUAUCCAAGUCCUGCUUCUGGCCUUGUCUCCUGGGUGGACCCCUUGGACCUAUGUUGUAGCCUUGUAUCCUGUCCUGUCUCUAGCCUCAUCUCCUGCUGGUCCUAACUGGGCCCCUUGGAUGGGCUGUGGGCCUUACUGAUUAUUUCAUCUGGUCUGCUACUGUUGAUGGACCCUAUUAACAGUACCCUGCUCUGCCCACUGUGUUCAGAUGCCAUUGGUGAUGUCGCGGAAUAACCAGAAUACAAUUUAGGUUCAGGUCAGAGCAGAAGCAGCUUAUUACUAUAGCUAUAGGGGAAAGCACAGAGCAGCAGAGUGACAGACUGCUGAUAUGAAUUCUGCCCAAGUGAGGCAGUUACAGAGUUGUAUACCUUUGGGUUAUACGACUUGUCCUUCACAGAACUACAGCUGUGUGGAUAAGCAAGAACAGGGAGAGAAUCACUUCAGAAGAGGAAGCUCUAAGGAUACAGAUAGUAUGUUCUUUUACAGACAAUACACUCCUUCAAUAACUGGGUCACGCUGAUUUCAGCAAAGCCAUUGCAGAUGUUUUCUUGUUAGAUAGGCCUGCAAAGGCCUAUGAGGCGUUAACUAUUUUACUUCCACAGUAAAUACACUGUGUGAGUUGUGGUUACCCUCAGCUCCUGGCUCAUCCACUCUCAUGGAGCAGCCCUGCUUUUGCUGCUCCCUGGCAACAGUUUGCAACAAGGGAAAUUCUGAUUAGAUAUAAGGAAAACUUUUUUUCCUCCUGAGGGUGGUCAGAUGUUGGAACAAGGGUCCAGACGGGUUGUGAGAUCUCUGUCCAUGGAGAUAGCCAAAAUGUGACUGGACAAAGCCCUGAGCAACUUGAUCUAGUUGGCCUUGCUUUGAGCAGAGAUUGGGGGGGUUGGACUAGAGACCUCCAGAGGUCCCUUCCCAUCUACAUUAUUCUGUGAUUCUAUAAAAUGAUGAAGCUGUGUAGCUGGCAGUAGGAGGGUGAACAGCUGGGAGGUAGGGGGCGCAUUGUUUUUAAAAAAAAAAAAAAAUCAGAAGGGGCAUAAUUCAGUGUUUUUUGCUGUAGUCUGUGAAUUCACUGGGAAAAGGCAACUGGCUGUCUUUUAUCCUUUUGGUAAAACACAUACUCCCUCUGUAUAUGUCUUUAAAGAUAUGGAAACUAAGUUUGAGUCCCUGCUUCUCAACAAAGUCUCUGUGUGAUCUCAGCCAAAUGACUUAGUGCCUCUCUUGCCUCACUUUCCCAUCUGUGAAUAUAAGUCUGUCUGUCCAUACUCAUGAGGAAUAUUGUUCAUUCCAGACUGUAGAUCACUCCAGUAUUACAGUAAAGAGAGCAAGUACAUAUAUGAGAGAGAUUUAAAAGCAGACUAACAGCACCAUCUGUCUGCCCCAUUAACUGGGGGGGGGGGGGGGGUGCAACAGAAAACUAGUUGCUGCUUCUUAGAUGAUUGAGACAGCAAGGUGCACAUGCACCUGUCACUUAAAUGGCACAGCUAUCUGAAAUCCAAUCCACUAGGCUAAGUGAAGUACGAAUAUGGUUUGAAAUCUGUAUGCCAGUGAGGGAGAGCUCAUUGAAGUGAAAACAAUUCUUGUUUCACAUCAUUCCUGUUAUAUAAUGUUGUAUCCUUUUGAUGUGGUAGCUUAAUAAAGCUUAACUCCCUCUCUGCCUUCUCCAAGAUGUCAGUGUAGGAUUUGCACUCCAGGUUCAUAUCAAAUAUUGGCCAAGGUAGUGAGAGUGUCUAGAAAUUUCUUAGUGUAGAUAGCAGAAGACAUAGAUACAGUAACAUGGAGGAUUAUCAUGUUCAAAACACUUAAACAGCAACUAAUAUCCCUGCUACAAAUGGUAUAUUUCAUUCUAUAAAACUGAUGAAGCAUGGCCAAAACUUUUGAGGUAGCUUAGGGGAUAUGAACACUUUU